rnacentral:lncRNA from 1 species
UAAUGACUUUUACCUCAUUUUUAAAACAAAUCCAUAGUAUGGAUGAUAUUGAUGAUGAAAUGUCUUACGAUGAUCAUUUAGAGGUUUAUUUCGAACAACUGGCAAUUCCAGGAAUGAUGGAAUAAAGCAUACGAAGUAGAAGGACUGGAACCUCCAGAAAAAGUACUUUAAGUUACCUACAGGUGAUCCUAGUCAGGUAUGAAUUGAUAAGAAAUGCCUGCACCUUCCCUCCUUCCUAUCUUUCCCUUGCCUACAGAAAAUUAAAAGGCAAAACAAUGGACAUCUACAUAUUCUUCAUUCAGAUCAACCAGUGGCUAGCAUUUGCCACCUUUUGCAGUUUCUUUCUCUUUCCAUAAGUACUUUCUUCUCUGAAUCAUUUGAAAGCAAAUGAAAACAGUAGCCUAAAGUGUCAGUUUCAACCCGAAAAUAACAGCUCUGAUUUCUCAUGGCUCACACUCGUCUGAAAUGACUCGGGUAGAGGCUGAGGAAGGCUGUGUUGUUUGUCUACCUGGGACUACACCUACUGAAAGAAGUUCUCAAGUUCUGAUUGAGUUCUAAAAUUCUUUUGAAGAUUGGAAUUCUUCAUAUGUAAAAAGAGAAGAGAAAGACAUUCUUGAUUUUGGUGACUAGAGUUGUAGAUGCUGGAAGCUUUGCCACUAACAUUGAUGAACCAGAUGCAUGUCACCAGCCCAUCACGGUGAUUCUUAAUGCCGGCACCAUGGGCCGGCACUGCCACGUUUUCCAAGGAACCUGCCAGAGCUCCUGCGGAAGCUGCUCCUCGGGCGAUGGAGUCCCUUUGCUGCUAGGCCCUUCUUCAGUCACCACAGGAUGCCUGCCAUUCAUGAACAGGAAGGAGAGGACGGGCUUUGAAUAAAAAACAGGAUCCAGGAAAUAUUUGUGAGGCCAUUUGGACUUCAGUGUGAAAUGGUGUUAAAAGAUGAAGUCAUUUAUUCAAGAAGUAAACCUCUGCCACCUGGACUGUGCUCAGACAUUUCAUUGAUUUUGUUUAAUAAACAUUUUCUGGCUUUGG